GACGAACGCUGGCGGCGUGCUUAACACAUGCAAGUCGAACGGAAAGGCCCUGCUUUUGUGGGGUGCUCGAGUGGCGAACGGGUGAGUAACACGUGAGUAACCUGCCCUUGACUUUGGGAUAACUUCAGGAAACUGGGGCUAAUACCGGAUAGGAGCUCCUGCUGCAUGGUGGGGGUUGGAAAGUUUCGGCGGUUGGGGAUGGACUCGCGGCUUAUCAGCUUGUUGGUGGGGUAGUGGCUUACCAAGGCUUUGACGGGUAGCCGGCCUGAGAGGGUGACCGACCACAUUGGGACUGAGAUACGGCCCAGACUCCUACGGGAGGCAGCAGUGGGGAAUAUUGCACAAUGGGCGGAAGCCUGAUGCAGCAACGCCGCGUGCGGGAUGACGGCCUUCGGGUUGUAAACCGCUUUCGCCUGUGACGAAGCGUGAGUGACGGUAAUGGGUAAAGAAGCACCGGCUAACUACGUGCCAGCAGCCGCGGUGAUACGUAGGGUGCGAGCGUUGUCCGGAUUUAUUGGGCGUAAAGGGCUCGUAGGUGGUUGAUCGCGUCGGAAGUGUAAUCUUGGGGCUUAACCCUGAGCGUGCUUUCGAUACGGGUUGACUUGAGGAAGGUAGGGGAGAAUGGAAUUCCUGGUGGAGCGGUGGAAUGCGCAGAUAUCAGGAGGAACACCAGUGGCGAAGGCGGUUCUCUGGGCCUUUCCUGACGCUGAGGAGCGAAAGCGUGGGGAGCGAACAGGCUUAGAUACCCUGGUAGUCCACGCUGUAAACGGUGGGUACUAGGUGUGGGGUCCAUUCCACGGGUUCCGUGCCGUAGCUAACGCUUUAAGUACCCCGCCUGGGGAGUACGGCCGCAAGGCUAAAACUCAAAGGAAUUGACGGGGCCCCGCACAAGCGGCGGAGCAUGCGGAUUAAUUCGAUGCAACGCGUAGAACCUUACCUGGGUUUGACAUGGAUCGGGAGUGCUCAGAGAUGGGUGUGCCUCUUUUGGGGUCGGUUCACAGGUGGUGCAUGGCUGUCGUCAGCUCGUGUCGUGAGAUGUUGGGUUAAGUCCCGCAACGAGCGCAACCCUUGUUCACUGUUGCCAGCACGUUAUGGUGGGGACUCAGUGGAGACCGCCGGGGUCAACUCGGAGGAAGGUGGGGAUGACGUCAAGUCAUCAUGCCCCUUAUGUCCAGGGCUUCACGCAUGCUACAAUGGCUGGUACAGAGAGUGGCGAGCCUGUGAGGGUGAGCGAAUCUCGGAAAGUCGGUCUCAGUUCGGAUUGGGGUCUGCAACUCGACCUCAUGAAGUCGGAGUCGCUAGUAAUCGCAGAUCAGCAACGCUGCGGUGAAUACGUUCCCGGGGCU
rnacentral:rRNA from 1 species